AAACAAAUGCUAUUGCCACCAGGAAACAGACCACAUGAAAAGAAACGUCGGGAACCUGGAAGAGCUGCCCAGGCAAUAAUUCUCUUCAGUUUCCAAGUUCAUUACCCUCAUUAACUCAAGUCAAUGGGACAGAACAAAAGGCUUCUGAAAAGCCCCAUAAACAUAAGGCAUGCAUAUUUUAAAUCUGUGACUAUAAAAAAAUAACGAAGCUGAAUUUUCUUCUGGCUCACGGUGCAUCCCAGCUGUGCUCUUAGGAUUAUCGGUAUGCCUUGUAAUGCAGUCCUUGAGUCCUGUCACAAAGUACUGUUUAUUCUGAACUCGUGGAUGGUUUUGGGGGUGGAAAGGGGGUAGCCAUAACCAAAAAUUUCCCAGUGUAGACUGUAGGAGGUAGCAGGGGUCACAGAUAACUUCAUGAGAAACAUCAGUGUCUGAUGGUGGGAGAGCAAGUCCUGCGAAGGCGCCAGGCCCCCAACCCGUGUGCAAAUCCAUAUGAGGAAAGAAGUGAGGAUGCUGUUAUUGGAAUGAUCACACGUCAUUUCAGUGCAUCUCCCAGAAUGCAACACAGAAAAAGAAAAAACAUUGUGUUUGUAGUUCUAGGUCUGGGGAAAGGUACUGGUAAGAAUCAACACUUCUAUUAAGUCAAAUUUUUAUUUGUCAUUACUUAGGCCUUUUAAACAAACUCAUGCGUUUCUCCAAACAGGCAUCGUUCAUUAAAGUGACAGACAGAAAGGGAUGGUUGCUCUCGGGAUGAGCAGCGAGCAGCCUGCAGCUCCCCGCAGGGGCGGAGGAGCGGCCGCCGGGCGCGCGGGAAGGAGGCGGCGGUCCCCAGUCACGUAGUGGGUGAGCGUCACGGCUGAAGAGAUUUACGGUCUGUCACGGUUUUCUGUAAAUGAAAAUUGCUGCUCCUCGCCGCCCAAUUUAGUUUUAUCUGAGUUAAUCCAGGAAAGUCUUAUUCGUUUGAACUAUAACUCAACAUAUGAGUCAGUGAGUGUUACCCAGGGACGUAAAGGAGCUGUUUGUUACCGUUUCAGGACAGCCGCCUCCAGGGUGUGCUGAAGUCGGUCGGACUGUUUUGAGCCUCUCCGGGGCAAAUGGAAAUGAAGCUUUUUAUGAAGUCUCCCUCUUUUUACACUGGAAAAUUGGCUGCAAUGUGGCUCAGAAGUGAGUCGGAAAGUCUGUCAGGCUGACAACAUGACCCUGCCGAAGAUGAGGGACAUUUACAAGUUUGGUUAUUAAAAAAAUGACAGAGCCGUAGCUGUGUUUACUCGGCUCCACACUGGAAUUCUGACCAUCUAACAGGUACGAGCUCAUCACAGAGGGUUCUCACUGGUCCUUCCAGCCAGAAGUACUGCUCUGGUGGGAAGGCCUGGAGUGCAAGAAGUCGGUGUCCUGGGGAGCAGGUGGAUUUAAAUUCCAUCAUGAUUUGGUUUCCCUAUUCUCCCCUUAACACUUUACUUCCAAAGCAAAUGUUCACCAGCAUUGUCACUUCCAGAAAGAUCCAGUGUCCAAAAGUGAUGGUGUUCAUGGAGUGUAGAGCCAGCUGACACAGUAGGGUGGAUCUGACCAAUACAGGUCACAGAACGAUGGAGACAGAGAAAGGAUGCCAUCAAAGCUGGCAAGAGUAUAGCAUGGACAGAGGGAACACGGAACACCCUCUCCUCACUUAGAAUUGGUUUCUUGGAGCAAGGACAUCCGGACAAAUAAGGGUGCUCACUCAGCUCAAGACCACCUCACUCCUCCACAGUGAGCCAAGCACUAUUCUGAGUCCUGGGGAUAUGCUGGUGAACAAGAUCUGCUCUCUAAGUUCAAGGCGUUCCCCGUCUACCCAGGUAGAUGCUCAGGUAAAUCGAGACCUGCUUCACAAGGCUGAAUAUCUGAGCCAGGGAUGGGGCCUGAAGAGAUGCCCCGGGGGGAAUCUGAGCAGAACUUGGAGAUGAGCUCCAGCGUGCCCCACCCCACAGAGGGGAGAGGAGCCUCCUAUAAAGGUCAAAAAACACGAUUAUGGACCUUGGGGAAAAGGGGCUUCUCACACCGUGUGUGGUGGUGCCACCAUUUCAGAUGUGUACACUUUACAAGAUGGCAAGAGUGUCCGUAAUGCCACUUUCUGUCCGGAGAGCAAAUCUACCAGUGCAGCUCUCAGGACUCCACGGCAGACUCAAGGCUCCCCAAGGAGAGCAGCCCUGGCAUUUUAGGAGGGACCUUAGGACAGCCCCGCACGCCGAGGGGUGGCAUGCUCUGCCAAGCCCCCCACUCCUGCUUUAUUCACAAAGUGAUCAGAAACUGUCAGCCGUGGAGGAAAGCGAGUUCUCCUCGCUGUCCUCAUGACUUGACGUGUGGUAGCAUCUGUCCUCCCUCUAGCUCCUUUUCGGAUCUGACAUGAGCACUGUGAGGAGGCCAACGGCAGGUUCCCGGUACCUACUUAUGGCUGAGCCCCGAGGAGAGCUCUUCACCAACCAAGAGCUGCACCUGCCCGCCCACACUGAUGAGGGUGCCAGGAAGGGCUGUGCUCACUGAUUAUUGAUUGCUAGGUUGGUGACAGCCCAGAACGAGGUCUCUAGGGACAUAAUUCAAGGCUCAGACAUCUAAGGUCCCUUUAGCUCCUCUGAAUAUAUUAUAUAUUCAAUGUAUUACACGUAUGAUCUUCAAAGUGUCUGAUGUUAGGACAGUCUAGGCUGAGGUCACACCUAACCCGCACAUCUCAGGAGUCAAAUGCAACAAUGAGAAAACAGUCCAGUGAAGUUCGGGUGGCUUUCCUUCAACAGUGACUCAGGAAUCCGACUGCCCUCACCUCGCCUCUCUGCCAUCUACAAGUUCUUUGCCAACAGCCAUGAAGGAGGGAACAAGAGCGUGGGUGCCUCACACCUGCUCUUAAUUGCUUUGCCCUGAGAGCCACCAGUCCCUUCCAUUUGCAUCCCCAUUGGCAAGAACUUGGUCCCAUGAUCCCACCCUAAGCCAGACGAUGCUGAGGAAUGUUGUCUUCCUGGGUGCCCAGUAAGAAGAAAUGGUGUGGUGAAUAGAAAACACCCUAGGCCCAGUGUAUGUAGAGAACAGUUGUCCUGUGCUUUUAUUUUUACUGUUAUUUUAAUUUAUUUUUAUUUUAUUGUUAUUGUAUUUAAUUGUACUGUGACCUACUGGGAGACAUAUAAAGCUUGGUAAAAUCAACUCGCUUUUGACUGUGUAAGACAAAUAACCCUGCUCGCGAUGAAGCCAGGAUCCUUCGUGAAUGAAAAAUUUCCACUGCCAGGUCUCUGCUUACACAAUUGCUUAUUUCUAAGUCUGACCCAAAGCAGGAGGCUUGGUCUCACAGAGGUAUAAACUAAAGACUCAAAACUGUUUCAGAGGCCAGCGUGCCCCACAUGGGGGUGGUGUGAUUUGCACAUCUGCGCGUGUGACCGUCUCGAUGGCUGAAGGGUGGGGGUGCACGCUGCCAAGGAGGUCACCAGCACCGCAAAACAGCAAAACGUUUGCAGUAGAUCACUGCCCUAUAAUAGUUGGAGAUUGUAAAAGCAAAAAAAAAAAUUAAACUCUAAAAAAUUUUAA